GAAAUUCUCAGGGGGACGAGGGCCGCCACUCUUGAAGCCACCGCGGAAAGAACAAAGAGGGGAUGCCUCCCCAAUUCACUCCACAUCCAGCAGAUCCACGCUAGGUAGAGAGAGGGGCGGGCAGAGGGAUAGUGUGGAAGGCUCCCCAGGCUGAGGUAGAGGUGGUGCCUGGAGGCGCAUGACGCUUCCUUGAUGCCCUCCACAGGUCAGCAGGAAGGACAUGCCACUGGUUCGACCACAACUGGAAGAAGAUAGAGGAGCAUGUCCGCACAAAGACUACGGUACAGGUGCGGAAUCUAGGUGUCGCCGCCGGGGCUGCCGCACCCAAGUCAUGCUCAGAAGUACCUCAAUGUUUGUAUGACACAAACACCGGUAAGAGUAACACAGGUACAACAUUCAAAAUCUACUAACUUGUCUAGCAAAAAAAAUACAUUUAAGUUGCCUCCGCAAAUGCGAGAGCUGAUCAUAACUUUAUGGGUACAUCUUAUUUGGUUACUUUUUGUGUUAUUUUUUAAGAAUUUUAUGUAUGUAAGUGUGCCAGACUUGCUGAUGCAUGUGCUUUCAGUUUUAUAGUGGAAGAAAAUAAUUGUUUGAUCGAAGCUAUCUUACGAAGCUUCUGCCUACCCUAUAAAAUGAGUAGUUGCAAUAAAAUGCCACUUGUGGGAGGAAAGAUACGAGAAAUAAUGAUAGGUUUUAGAGCAAAUGGUUGUAUGCAUUGGAGAAAUUUUUAUAAUGUAAUUUUGUAUACCUAUGCUACUCAUAUAAUAUUUUUUUAUUAAGAAUAUCUACCAAUGUAUAAAAAAACAGAGGCACUAUACUUUAUUCUUCUGUUUGCAUUUGUUGGGAUCAGAAAAGUUGUUCUUGUUAUAGACACACUUACACAAUGAAACUGCUGCUAAUUGUGUUAUGCAAAGAUGGCCAACAUGGUGGAAGAUCCCACAUGAUGGGUUGAAAUGGGUAAAACGGACAGAAAGAACACAUGUUGGUCUUUGA